rnacentral:rRNA from 1 species
AUGUGCGCUAAGAUCUUUAUCUGGUUGGCGACGCAAGACCGCUGCUGGACUGUUGCGCGACGUGCGCGCCAUGGGCUUUCCGACAACCCCACCCGCGUCUUCUGUGACCAGACCUUGGAGACCAUCGAUCACCUGCUCGCUGGAUGCCCCUUCUCCCGCGCUGUCUGGCAUAGCACACUUGCUGCGUGCAGACUCAAGGUUGACAUCCCGACCCCUACGUCCCGGUUCAUCGAAUGGUGGAGUUCGGCUGUGGCGUCCUCCCCUCCGUCUCUGCGCAAAGGUGUUGCCUCCCUGGGUAUUCUGGUGGCUUGGAGCAUCUGGAAGCAUCGCAAUGCUGUCAUCUUCGACGCUGCUGCACCUUCCUAUGACCGCCUCACUCAGUCCAUCCUCGAUGAGGCACACACGUGGGCUCUGGCCGGAGCUAGAGGAUUGGCGGCGUUUUCUAUUUUUGAGCCACCUUAG